CACGACAUCGUGGAAAUAUCCAAAUCUUCGGAGCCUUGGGAUGAGCCUGCGUCUGAUUAGGUAGUUGGCGGAGUAAUAGCCCACCAAGCCUACGAUCAGUAGCUGGUCUGAGAGGAUGAUCAGCCACACUGGAACUGAGACACGGUCCAGACUCCUACGGGAGGCAGCAGUAAGGAAUAUUGCUCAAUGGGGGAAACCCUGAAGCAGCAACGCCGCGUGAAGGAUGAAAUACUUUUGUAUGUAAACUUCUGUAAGAUGGGAAAAAUAUUCUCCUCGGGAGAAUUGAUUGUACCAUCAGAGUAAGCCCCGGCUAACUACGUG
rnacentral:rRNA from 1 species